rnacentral:rRNA from 1 species
GAGUUUGAUCAUGGCUCAGAUUGAACGCUGGCGGCAGGCCUAACACAUGCAAGUCGAGCGGUAGAGAGAAGCUUGCUUCUCUUGAGAGCGGCGGACGGGUGAGUAAUGCCUAGGAAUCUGCCUGGUAGUGGGGGAUAACGCUCGGAAACGGACGCUAAUACCGCAUACGUCCUACGGGAGAAAGCAGGGGACCUUCGGGCCUUGCGCUAUCAGAUGAGCCUAGGUCGGAUUAGCUAGUUGGUGAGGUAAUGGCUCACCAAGGCGACGAUCCGUAACUGGUCUGAGAGGAUGAUCAGUCACACUGGAACUGAGACACGGUCCAGACUCCUACGGGAGGCAGCAGUGGGGAAUAUUGGACAAUGGGCGAAAGCCUGAUCCAGCCAUGCCGCGUGUGUGGAGAAGGUCUUCGGAUUGUAAAGCACUUUAAGUUGGGAGGAAGGGCAGUAAAUUAAUACUUUGCUGUUUUGACGUUACCGACAGAAUAAGCACCGGCUAACUCUGU